ACGAACGCUGGCGGCAUGCCUCACACAUGCAAGUCGCACGAACCCUUCGGGGUUAGUGGCGCACGGGUGCGUCACGCGUGGGAAUCUGCCCUUUGCUUCGGAAUAACUCAGGGAAACUUGUGCUAAUACCGGAUGAUGUCUUCGGACCAAAGAUUUAUCGGCAAGGGAUGAGCCCGCGUAGGAUUAGGUAGUUGGUGGGGUAAAGGCCUACCAAGCCGACGAUCCUUAGCUGGUCUGAGAGGAUGAUCAGCCACACUGGGACUGAGACACGGCCCAGACUCCUACGGGAGGCAGCAGUGGGGAAUAUUGGACAAUGGGCGCAAGCCUGAUCCAGCAAUGCCGCGUGAGUGAUGAAGGCCCUCGGGUCGUAAAGCUCUUUUACCAGGGAUGAUAAUGACAGUACCUGGAGAAUAAGCUCCGGCUAACUCCGUG
rnacentral:rRNA from 1 species